rnacentral:rRNA from 1 species
GUUAAGUCCCGCAACGAGCGCAACCCUCGCCAAUAGUUGCCAGCAUUUAGUUGGGCACUCUAUUGGGACUGCCGGUGAUAAGCCGGAGGAAGUGGGGAUGACGUCAAGUCCUCAUGGCCCUUACGGGCUGGGCUACACACGUGCUACAAUGGUGGUGACAGUGGGCAGCGAGACCGCAAGGUCGAGCUAAUCUCCAAAAGCCAUCUCAGUUCGGAUUGUUCUCUGCAACUCGAGAGCAUGAAGUUGGAAUCGCUAGUAAUCGUGGAUCAGCAUGCCACGGUGAAUACGUUCCCGGGCCUU